rnacentral:rRNA from 1 species
UACGGGGGGGGCAAGCGUUGUUCGGAAUUACUGGGCGUAAAGCGCGCGUAGGCGGUUUUGCAAGCCAGAGGUGAAAUGCCUGAGCUCAACUUAGGAAUUGCCUUUGGGACUGCGAGGCUUUGAGGACGGGAGAGGUGAGUGGAAUUCCCAGUGUAGAGGUGAAAUUCGUAGAUAUUGGGAAGAACACCGGUGGCGAAGGCGGCUCACUGGCCCGUUUCUGACGCUGCAGCGCGAAAGCGUGGGGAUCAAACAGG